UAGCAUUUUUUUAAAAAUAAAAAUCACUGACCAUUCAAUUUAUUCAUUAAAUCUAUGGCAUAGCGUUGGAUGUUCCUAAUGAAGAAUAAGCUUGGAGAUGGAUGCCAUACUUAUCACAAGCUUUCUUUACAUCUAGUUGAGUCAGAUGUGGAUGAUAUUCUGUCUAAACAUCAAACAAUUAAAAUUUAAUAAAUAAAACAUCACUAGAAAAAAGUUUUAAAAACUUGGAAUGGAAUUACUGAGGAAGGAACAUGGAAGAAAUUCAACAAAAUAAAAUCCAGUUACCUU